rnacentral:lncRNA from 1 species
AAAAACUGGACACUAAGGAAGCUAAAUUCCAUUCCUCCAAAGCAUCUGGUUCCUCCUAGAAGUUUCCUGACUUCUGUGGGCAAAAUGUGAUGACAAAGGCUCACAGCUACUAAUGUGCCUAACUUGCAAGAAAGAAACUUUGAAAUGACCAGUCUACCUUUUAUUCUUUGUUUCCACUAUCUUCAACAUCUUUUGGUCUAUAAAACCAACUUUCUCUGCUCCGCUCAUUGGAACACAAUCCAUUUUAAGAAGAACAAGUAUGCAGCUGGCCAAGAGGUUUUGCAACCUGAUGGGGAGGCUGUCAAGUGUGACAAAAGAUCAUCAGCACCAAGCAUGAGUAUGUGAGAAUGACCUACCUCUCUCACUACUUGCAGCUAACUAUGGGACAGUGCAUCACCUGGCUCAGGUAAGUCACCAUCAGAAACACAGCAUAGUGAAAACAACUCACACAAGAACUAUGUUAAAUGGUAACUUUUCAUUUCCUA